AGUAAAGGAAUCCACCCGGCACUGCAGGAGACGCAGGUUUGAUCCCUGGUUUGGGAAGAUCCCACAUGCAGUGAACAACUAAGCCGAUCACCAGACUGGUAAACUAGAGGGUGUUGUCAAGGCCGUUCUUACCAUUGGCUGGAAGUCUCUAUCGUCCUGGGCAGGAGUGGAACAGGAGGCCCUGAGUUCUAAUGUGUAUCUCAUUUCAGCAGGGCGCCUGACACAGCCAGGCUGAGUGAGAUGCUUAUCAAGAGUGGGGUUUGCAUGAGAGAACAUUCAUUCCCAAAGGCAGCUGGUGCCAGACUGAUGGCUGGAUGGAGGACAGGCUGCAGUAUGGACAGGGGCUUCACAUUUGACCCUUUCCCCGUCUCCAUCAAUGUCUGCCAACGGCAAUAAGGAAACACACACAGGCUGAUCUAUCAGGAAAAAUAAAAGUAUUCACUGAUAUAUCAAAGAAAGGUCUUUGGGGACUAGAGCAACGUCUAAAACAAGCAGCAGAAAUACAAUGGGUAUUCAGCAUAAAAUGCUGGGCCUGUGGCCAAAAAGUCAACUGCUUAAGAAGCAGAUGGAGAAAUAUGUCUUAGAAGAGGUGCUGCAAGAAGAGACCUGGGGCUUUUAGUUCACGGCAAGUGAAACCAGUGUGAUGUGCCUGGAAGACUAUAUUCAGGAAGCAUCCAGUGUCUGUAUGGGGCUACCCUGACGGCGUGGCUGGUAAAGAAUCUGUCUGCAAUGUAGAACACACAUGAGAUGCGGGUUCGAUCCCUGGGUCGGGCAGACACCCUGGAGGAGGAAAUGGGCAAUGCAUUCAAUAUUCUCGCCUGAAAAAUCCCAUGGACAGAGGAGCCUGGUGGGUUACAGGCCAAAGGGUUGCCAAGAGUUGGACACCACUGAACGACUAAGCACGCAGUGUCUAUAUAUUCUCUGAUUCAGCAAAUCCUUAUUUCACCAUGCAGUUUGUGCUUCAGGCACUGACUGAGUUGGGCAGUAAAUAUACCAGAGGACCAUUCAGGUGAGGUACCUACCCAUAUAUGGUCCAUAGUUUUCUAGGGCAAAGAAGCAAACACACACAGAUUUGCUGAAACUUGUGACGGACAUAAACGAAGGUCAGAAAGAGUGUGAUGAGGGAUGUACUUUUCCUGGGGUGGCCAGGCCAGGCCAGGCCUCUCUGGGAAAGUGGCAUUGAAGCCAAGACCAUAUGAAGGGGAAGGGGAGACAGGGAGAUGGAACAUUCCAGGCAGGACAAGGGGUCCAUUGGCCAUGACCAUGGAAGGAGCUUGCUGUCUUUCCAAAACUGAAAGCCCAGUGAGGCCUGUGCAUAUUCGUGGCUGCCAACGUCCACUCCCCCGUUCCUCUCUGGGGAUGGUACCACCUUCCCAGCCUCCCUUGCAGCUGAGUACCUUGGGCUGAGUUCUCAGCAGUGAGAUGCUAAGAGGUGGUCUGUGUUGGGACCCGGGGUCCUAAAGAGGUGGACACGCCUCCUCACUCUCUGGGUUUCCUCCUGGUUGCAUCUGGGGCCUGGCAGCCAGGCAGCCUGGACCCCAUGGAACUGCGGUGCCCCAGCUGGAAGGGCCCUGGGUCCCUGAAUGACUGCAGAGAACCGGGCCACUUGCCGAUACCUGGAUCACUCACCUCACCCAGGUACUCGGGACAGAGAAAAAACAUCCUGUAUUCUUUAAGUCACUGAGUUGCCGUCACGUCUCUUGGCUGACCUAUCACAGAAACGGGAGGCACACCCACGGGUACACGUUUAGAACACUGCAUUUGGUUCAAAGUCUCACUUUUUUUUCUUAAGGGACACUGACCAUUUGAAGCAUGUAAAGCACAACAACAUUUAGGAUUCCAAAAAGCAAGUCAACGAAAAUCUGUUUAAGACACCACAGUUGUUUAGUCUGGAAAAGAGGUUUCUUCGGGGUGGCACGUCUUCAAGCACUGUGAAGGAGGAAUGAAGCUGGAAUGGAGUAACUUCUACAGGGGCGACGGGCGGGUCGGAUUUACUCGACGAGGCAGAUUCUGAAUCAACAGAGGGGAGACGUUCCUAAUGACCAGGGAUGAUUCGGAAGAGGCCAGAUGGCUUCAGGAUCCGAGGUUUCUCCCUGCCGCUGUGUCCCAGCAGGGAUCAGCUGCCCACCUGCCCACCUGUAAGGAGGUGUUUACAGGACUGAUUCUGAGAGCCCACACUGGUCAUUCGAUGCUUGCACUCGCAUCAAAGUAGCCUUUUAAGGAAAGCCAAGAGUAACGAAUUCAGAUUUUCAUGACUUUAUUCUUGAGAUAAUCCAAAAAAUAUUUGGGGACUAGCAUUUUUUUUUAACUUAUCUUCGGAGAUGAAUGAUCCAUUUAGCCCAAGGAACUCAAAGUACUUUACACCCUUGUCUCAUUCAGGCUUGUCACAUAUCUGAGCUGCUGUGUCAGGGGCAAGACCAUCAAACCCCCUCUCUCAGAUAAGGAGAAGGACUCACAAAGAGGGCCAGUGAGUUGUCCAAGGUCACAGUGAGUCACGGGCACGGUGGUAGGGCAGGCUCCUCACCCGAGGUCUCCCACGCUGCUCCAAGCCCAUGCAAAGGGGACCCUCAGCUAGGAAAGUCUCCCACGGACAGGAGGAACCAACCUAAACCAACAGUCUUUCCAGAGUUGGAAAUGACCUGAGACAUUUCAAGUUCAAUCAGUUUCAUUUCGCAGGUGAGGAAACUGAGGCUCACAUGAGGUCACCUGGAGUGAGGCAGAGCUAGGACUCAAGCCCAGUGCCCAGGAUCACAUCCUGCCUACUCACAAAUGGCCCGGGAACAGCCCCUACACAAUUACCUGGAAUCAACUGGGUCAUCACCAUUAGCUCUGCUGUCUGGAAAUCUAAAGGCUCAUAUUGGCUUUGGCCACCAAAGAGAGGAAACACUCUGCAAUGCUCGAAGACUCACAGCGGAGGGGGGCGGGGAGCAUCGUUUGUGCCUUGUAUUACAAAGUCCAAAGGCAAAACAUAUGUUUCCCAUUUGUCCUGGGAUGGGAAACUUUUCCUUUCGCUUAAUCUCGGUUUAAACAAACAGAGAGACUGCCCUUUUCGUAAACUCACCCAACGUCAAAUAUUGUUCACUCGCCCAGCAUCGGCUUACUAAGCCACUACACAGCGCCUUUGCCUCAUGU
ensembl:lncRNA